CGGGGCGUGGCGCAGCCUGGUAGCGCACCUGCCUUGGGCGCAGGGGGUCGGAGGUUCGAAUCCUCUCGCCCCGACCA
rnacentral:tRNA from 1 species